AAUACCGGUGAAGAUCUAGCGGCGAACGGGUGAGUAACACGUGAGAAACCUGCCCCGAACUUUGGGAUAACACGAGGAAACUCGUGCUAAUACCGAAUACCUCCAUCUGGUCGCAUGGCCGGAUGAAGAAAGAUUUAUCGGUUCGGGAGGGUCUCGCGGCCUAUCAGCUAGUUGGCGGGGUAACGGCCCACCAAGGCAUCGACGGGUAGCUGGUCUGAGAGGACGAUCAGCCACACUGGGACUGAGACACGGCCCAGACUCCUACGGGAGGCAGCAGUGGGGAAUCUUGCGCAAUGGGCGAAAGCCUGACGCAGCAACGCCGCGUGCGGGAUGAAGGCCUUCGGGUUGUAAACCGCUUUCAACAGGGAAGAAAUUGACGGUACCUGCAGAAGAAGCCCCGGCCAACUACGUGCCAGCAGCCGCGGUAACACGUAGGGGGCGAGCGUUGUCCGGAUUUAUUGGGCGUAAAGAGCUCGUAGGCGGUUCGGUAAGUCGGGUGUGAAACCUCCAGGCUCAACCUGGAGACGCCACCUGAUACUGCUGUGACUAGAGUCCGGUAGGGGAGUGUGGAACUCCUGGUGUAGCGGUGAAUGCGCAGAUAUCAGGAAGAACACCAGCGGCGAAGGCGGCACUCUGGGCCGGUACUGACGCUGAGGAGC
rnacentral:rRNA from 1 species